rnacentral:rRNA from 1 species
CAGUAGCCGCGGUAAUGCGGAGGGUGCGAGCGUUAAUCGGAAUAACUGGGCGUAAAGGGCACGCAGGCGGUUAUUUAAGUGAGGUGUGAAAUCCCCGGGCUCAACCUGGGAAUUGCGUUCUGAACUGGGUGGCUAGAGUGUGUCAGAGGGGGGUAGAAUUCCACGUGUAGCAGUGAAAUGCGUAGAGAUGUGGAGGAAUACCGAUGGCGAAGGCAGCCCCCUGGGAUAGCACUGACGUUCAUGCCCGAAAGCGUGGGUAGCAAACAGGAUUAGAUACCCGUGUAGUCCCUGUCUCUUAUAC